rnacentral:rRNA from 1 species
AUACGUAGGGGGCGAGCGUUGUCCGGAAUGAUUGGGCGUAAAGGGCGCGUAGGCGGCCUGUUAAGUCUGGAGUGAAAGUCCUGUUUUCAAGAUGGGAAUUGCUUUGGAUACUGAUGGGCUUGAGUGCGGAGAGGUUAUCGGUAUUCCUGGUGUAGCGGUGAAAUGCGUAGAGAUCGGGAGGGACACCAGUGCCGUAGGCGGGUAACCGGACUGCAACUGACGCUGAGGCGCGAAAGUGUGGGGAGCAAACAGGAUUAGAUACCCUGGUAGUCCACACUGUAAACGAUGAAUACUAGGUGUGGGGGGACUGACCCCCUCCGUGCCGCAGUUAACACAAUAAGGAUUCCCCCUGGGGAGUACGAUCGCAAGAUUGAAACUCAAAGGAAUUGACGGGG